ACGAUGGAGAGUUUGAUCCUGGCUCAGGAUGAACGCUAGCGGCAGGCCUAAUACAUGCAAGUCGAA
rnacentral:ncRNA from 1 species